UUGCCUCCAACCCUGAUAGAAGCUUCUUCUAUGAAGCUUAGAAGUGUACAUGGUUUACGCCCCUGUGGCGUUGUAAGGGUGGCAUCCUCUGUUCAGCAGUAUAUUCGUAAUGACUUUCUUCCUCAGUAUUUUCACUCAUGCUCAGUCGUCUCUAAAUCUCAUUUAUAAAAACUUCAUGUUUUGCUACAGCAUACACAAGAUGACACUUACCUCGGUCCAGAUUUAUCUUUUUACCUUUUCUCACCAGAACUAUAUGCUUCACUGGAUCAUGUUAUUUCUCCCCUUACAGCUUCUUCUGCCCAGGAUCAAUUACAGGCCUUGAGCAUCUCCACCUCCUCUGAAAUUACUAGCAAAAGGAGCAGAUUGAGAGGAUUUAUCAAUGUGCAGACAUGUCCUUUGGUUUAGGAACUGCAGUUCUGGUUGUCUUCUCAUUUACAUAUUCUGGUUAUCCACAUAGUAGCAUGCAAGAGGUGAAAGAAAUGGAAGAGAGGAAUAGCAUGCCUCCUCCUCCCCACUAGUAUAAUCACACCCACCACUGGAACACAAGACUGAUUUUGACUACUAUCUGAAAUAAGAAGUAGACAGUGCUGAAAGAUUCAGACACCUCUCGGUUAGCGCUGUGUGCUGGGACAACUCCACUGUUGUGUAACUGUCCCAGUGCAACUUAACAUGACUUCCUCAAUCAAAGCUGGCUGCCUCAGGACACUACCAUAGUAAGUGGUCUCAUUCUAUCACUUAGCAUUCGUCACACCUACGUAAUUACAAUUGAAAAGUGUCCCCGCAAAUUAAGAAUGGCAAAUCUCAACCCGUAAACAAUAUCCUCCUGUUCUCGUUCAAGUUUGGAAAGGACUGCCGCAGGCUGAGAGGUAAAGAGGAAAACCUUCCUGAAAUAACUCUUCUGCCUCAUAAAGACAGGCUGUUUGACACAGUAUUUUAGUGCUGCCUAAUUAAUAGAAGUGGGACACCAUUAAUAUGCAGGACAGGUAUUUUAGAAGCAGUUCAUUAUACCGAUUAUUUUAAGACAUCCUUGUUCGUUAUCUCUCCAUUAGCAGCAGCACUCUGACCUCAUCAUUUAUUUCACAGCUCACCUUUGGCUUCGGGACAAUUCCUCCUUCUCAGAAGAAACUGUCACCACUGAGCUUGUAUAUCUUUGGGUGUGAACUGUCAGGUGUCAGACAAUAUUUAGAAGUGUUCUUUGCUGAUUCCAGCCUAAUCUACCGAUUGAAAAAAACAGUAUCUUACCGUAGCUGUGUUUAAAGUGGAACAAUGGAGAAAUUCUUUCCAUAAUAAGGACAAAUGGCACAUGGUUCCACCAGGCAUCAGAACAAGCACUUCCUGCAAGGUUGACCCGGUUGCAUCAGUGCAGAUUUAGGCGUAAAUGCUUUACAAGCAAAUAAAAUGACUUGAUGAGAUCA